GCUUUAUCCAUCUUUUUCCAUAGACAAUAACUAACUACUCGUACCUGCUCACUCAGCGCUCACGGCGCCCCACUCCCUUUUCUAUGUAAAAAUUCUAUGAUAGAAUCUAUAGGGCGCCUACUUUAGA